rnacentral:piRNA from 1 species
UGGAACCUGAGAGGAUGGAAAAUCUGGA